AGAUCCAGCCAAAGGAAGCGGCUGGAAUAGCUGAUGGAAGAAGCUUGUGUGACCUUGCUGGGAAACAGGGCAGGACAACUGUUUGCUGCAACAUCCCCAGCCCUGCUCCUGGACACCUCUGCACCCUCAGCUGAACGCCUUCCUGCAGGUCUUCUCAGGACAUGUAAAUAUGAAGAGAGAAUUUUUACUACUGAAGUAUAGAAAGACAACAUCACCUGGAACAAAUGAACUGGUGAUGGUGGCGUGGAGUCAAGAAGAGAAAGCGAGCACCCACAUUUGGUGCUUGAAACUCAAGACCUCAGAUCUCUGAAGGAGGGAGAGCAGAGCUGUGGAGCUCUGGUGGCCCAAGAAAUGGAGGUCAAGUUCUGCCGUGUGGCUUGUAUUCAGACAUUUCUGCUCACUCCUUAUAAUUUUUGGCUUAAUGAAAAAUUCAGAGGGAUUGUGGCUGCUGUCUACAUCUUGGAGGUGAAGUGAGAAUGAGAAUUAUAUAGGAGAAGCUGGAAUUUCCCUGCUACCUGCCGCUAGAGGCACAUGGCAACAGCUGCCGAGAGCAUCUUUGCCACAGACAGAGCCAGUGGGAGGAACUGUGAUUUCCCCGCAGGCUCCGCUCUGCAGAAAAUCCUCCCUCCCCUUCCCCCUACCCCGCCUCUCCCUGAAAGACACUGUAGGCUGUGAAAAUGAUGAGGACAAUAAAAUGUGUUGCUCAAUUAUCCUGUAUAGGAGCUGAUAUAAUUCCAGCCCACAAGCACAGAGUGCACAGCCUCCCGUGUCCCAUAGAUUAACACAGCGUGCAUUACACUUGCUGCGGAGAAGAUUAGAGAAUCAAGGGGAUGGAGGGGCCAGCUUUUAUUUAAUCUAAUGGUUGUUCUAUCCGAUUUCCUGCAGGCUCUUUUGAUUUUCAGUAAGCAGGCAAUAGAGAUCAGCUGGGUUUUUAAAGGCUUGUCGACACAACUCCUGAUAAAUAAAGAUGAGCUUCUACAAGUAAGUAUUCUCUGAGAAACAAAGGAGCUGGUACCCUGGGAUCAUUUGGCCAGGGGUACAGAAGCAGGAAGAGUAUGACAGGGAAGAAUUAACAUGCAGAGCCUGGAAUCUAAUAUUUCCAAACAUAAUAAGCAACAAAAAGAAUGUGAGGAGCUGUAGAAAAUCAGUUUAAAAUGCACAUCCAGAAAGGAUGUGAGCACUCCACUCCAGGGUAACUAUGCUCAGUAUAAUUUAGGGGCAUAAUUCACUACGGGGCAUAGUGCUGUUUGGUGGCUUCUUACUCUUUCCUCUGUCACCAGGGGACACUCAGCUGGGGGUCCCACACCAGAGGGACACAAGUUCAGCUUGUGCCAGGGUCUGCUGAUGGCACCGGCCCCCUCCUGAUGAUCCUAGCAGCACAAAGAGAGGUUUCCAAGAGAUCCUGAGAUAGGAUUUCCUUUGAGAUGACUAUAGCUAAAUGCAAAUAUCAGUGUCUUAGGCAUCUAAAGGGCAUUACACCCCUAGGGAUGUGCACCCAAAUGGAGUCCUAACAACAGCAUGGAAGGUUGGUUUAGAUGCCUAAAUGCAGACUGCUACGGUCCACUGAUAAGUUGUCAUCCCAGAGUUAGAACUGCUGGUGUUGCAAGGGGGCAAUUCUAAAUUGCAGUGUGGUAGACAUCUUGCUGGUUCCCACCUAAGCCAGGAGCUGGAGGGAAUGAACCAGGACCAAACGAUGACUAUAAGCAUUCAUCUGCUCCAGGAGGGUCCAUGACUAGGCUUUUUGCCUCUCCUUGAGUGUCUAUAUCCAGUGUGUACUUCUUCCAGAACUGUCUUCUGUUGCUUCAUUCCCCCUACAAGGGUGUCAGAUCCUGGAGAGUGGUGUCAGGGCCAUUUUCAUGCAAAGGGGCAGGUCACUUAGAAAGCUCUCAGGCCAGGCAGGAAGGAUCUGGCUCCUCCUUGUUGGUCUUACAUCCAUGUGAUGUCUGUCAUACAAGGAGUUCUGCCUGUAUCUCACCAGCUGUGCCUUCCCUUGUCACACACAUGCUCUUGUAGGCCUCUUCUCAGUCCCAUUUUUUUCUGCUGUGCCAGCAUCUUGUGCAGCAUUCACUGCUGCUGUGAUCAUCCUCUGUGUCUCCAGAAGGUAUCUCUUGCUGGGCUCCCAUCUCCUGUAAAUGACACUGACAUUUCUCUGUCAUUUUCUUUUGUCCUGUGACUCUCCAUCAUCAGCUGACGAGGGCUCUCUACCUCAUGCGUGUGUGCGAGACUCCUCAUUAAAACACGGUUGCCGAGGGGAGUCAUGUCUAUUCCCAUGCUGGCAGGGCUCUGACAGCAAUUCCAUAUUGCAUGACAGGUUGUAGAACAAAGAGCUGUCCCAACUGUUCCUGUCUGUCCCAUGGCUCUUGCUCUGCAGCGUUACCUCCACCAACACUGAAGACCUGUAAAACUGGGUGGUUGUUAAUCAGACUACUAUUCUUCACUGCUUAGGGGACCAGAAAGGAAAAAACACUCUCACUAAGUCCAGACUGUGCUAGCAGGAGAGAACCUAACUGGGAUAAUGGAUCGAUUUCCGAGGCGGUUCUGUCAGGUCUGGGAUGACUUGGGAUGCCCAGCUGUUGACUGGUGUAGCAUUAAGGGAUGGCUACGCUGUUUGCCAAGGAGGUCCUGAUCCCCAUGUGAUAUAAAUCAGCAUCCUCCUUUGAUCAGAGUUGAACAGUGAUAAAUGGCUCUGUCAUCCCCUCACCUUAAACCAGUCCCUCUGAGUACAGCUCAAGGAGGGGCACAGAGAAGUCUGUGGUUAAGACACUAUGAUGGGGUAGGCAACAGAAGGAUCAUCUAGAGAUCGAUGGGGGUAAAUGUUCAGGGCAGGAGGAAAAACAGACUACAUAGUGCAAGGUAAUGGCAAGAGAAAGAGAUAGUCUCACAUUUUGAACACUCAGCACACAAGAGAGACUGCUAAUGACCCCAGUUCAUUACAUACCACCUCAGUGCCACUUAAUUUCAUUUCCCAAAUGAAUUUAGCCUUUCCAUUGAACACUGCUUCUCUCUCCACUGCAAGUCACAAGCGACUGGCAAUCAGGGGUUCCCAUCAAUGGGAGUCAGUCACUGUCAUAGACAGAGUGCUGAGGUGGGAAUCCACAAGCAAUGGGUCAGCUGUGGAUUCAAUUGGUUUGGCAUUACACGAUGUACUUUGUAAUUACCAAGGCUGCUUUUAAACUUCCUUUAAGGACCAAGGGAACAAUUUCUGAUUUAUGAAAUAAUAUCUCUUUGUUUUCUAAAGUAAAUAUUUGGUGUCUCCUAAGGUUGACUCUAAUUCAUAUCUUGCUGCAGGGUAAGUUUUGUAAUAAUGUCACUGUGUUUGCGAUAACAGACAAUAGCUUUGUUAUAAACUACAGGAGUUCAAGUACCAACCAGUGUUGCAGCAGAGGGUCCCAAAGGAGAGGGACAAGGGAAACAGCUCCUGUUUAUUACUGCUGGAACAUUAGCAGUAGCUAGGUUAGGUCAUCCAAAGAUUUCUGUGCUAGAUGCUUUCUAACUGCUCGUAACUUUUCAAAGCUUUGCAAUUUUCUGCUUGUCAUCAUUUUUUCUUUAUGUCUGAUCCUAGCUGAUUCAAUGGAUUUUUUUUCUCAGAGAGAAUAUCUUAUGAAAAAACAUAACUUCUGCAGCCUUUCUGAUGCAACAUAGUUAAUUGACCUCUCCUGGUCAGCAGAGCAAUGCUGUACCACAGUGAUGGAAGGACUCAUUUACCUGCUUAUAGAAGCCACUUCUGGCUUCAACACCUGCUCUAGUGGGUCAAGACAACAGACCUGGUCAUUCUUCUCCACUGCUAUGUAAGAAGGACCCUUUAGAAACCACGCACUUACUAAAGCAGGUACCCUGUUGUGGGAAGGGUAGAAGAGCUGUAGGAUAACAAUGUGAUUGUGUCUUCCGUGAGGACCAGGAGCUACACCGUGCAGGAUUUCAUUCAGUGGAAGGCGGCUGUAAGCAGAAGAACAAAUGCCCAUGUUGACUCCUUGAUUAAAAAAACGUUCACGGUUACUUGUGUGGAGUCUAUCACUGCACCCUCUUACUGAAGGGGGCGGACAAGCCUUUCUGAGGCAGGCAAAGAAACAUUGUGCGAGGACUAAGACAGACAUGAAAAGCGAGAGGGAGAGAAGGAUGUUGAAGCUGCCAGAGCAGAGCAUUCUGUCACUGGGAGGUAGGACAUCAGGGUAAACUUGCUCAGUGACCUUUGUUUCAACUGUGUUAUCUUUUGGCCCUUCUGUUGUUCUUGGCUUCUCUGGUAAGACUGAUCAAGCCUCUGGUUUGACCAAUUUUUUCAUAUAUCCCAGUGCCUUCAGGUCCCACAGAGCCAUUUGACUGGGCAGCAAAGUCCUGGCAGGCUUGAAGAGCAAUAAGGGCUGAUAGACAGGAAUGACACCCUGGUCCCUGUGGGAAUAAUUGCAGAUGUCUGCCUGGGAGUCCCACAGUACGUGGAUUCAGUCAUGGAGAGCUGCAUGAUGUGCUAAGCUCAGACAAGUUUCUGCUGCUGCUCACACAUCCCCUCUUUUUAUUUUUCUUGGAAAAUUCUUUCAUCUUUUCCUCAUUUGAAGUCUCUCUUCUUUUUGAGACCAACAAAAAUAAUCAAAUGGCUUAAGCAGAGUUUAAUGUAAGGAUGUGGGAAGGCAGUGGGCUGCUUAACAAAGAUUUCCUUCUGGCUCUGUAUGUAUUACAAUAGUGCCCAGAUCUUUAACAAUGUCUUUCAUCAGUUGAUCUGAAAGUACUUCACAGGCAUUAUGGAGCCACUGUCACAACUGUUAUCAAGGCUAGAAGAAUCCACUGUAAGCUUAAUUGUAAAUACACUGUUUUUCUAUUAAUAACUUUUUUGUGACAGCUCCAACCUUCAUCUUAUUUUUCACAUCUAGGCUCAGCCUGGAGGAGAGUGCUUUGUCUGUAUGAGUAAGUGUUGAGUUGGACGGGCUGUUUUUGAGUUAUGGGUAUCUGAGAAAGCAUUCUGUCUUCCAGUUUCUUGGGAGCCUCCGAUAAAGCUUUUAUGUUGUUGCUGCUUAUAUAUCAGGAAAAUGCCUUGAAGCAGAGACUUCCAGCUUGUAGUCACUUAUCUUCAGGAAAAACUCACAGAUGAGAUAAUUUUGCAUGUUGAAAUUGAUAGACUUUUUGCUAGUUUAGAGGAUCUAUGUGAAAAGCUGGAAAAUAAAAUACACCCAUGCUGAA